AAUGACGUUUGAAAAGUGAAAGUGCUCAUGUGACGGGCCUGUCCUGGUCGCGCUAGGCGAGACAACAAAAAUUGCCGCCCCUUACGAGAAUAGUCCCAAGUAAGCAAAGCUACGUUAAAAAGACCUCUACUAUACGAAUUUUCAAGACGUUGAAGUUAGGUUCAAUUUAGGUUCUGAAUGAAAGGUGAAAAUAUGUAUUUUCCAGAUGUUGAAAUCAGGUUCAUUUUCGGUUCUGAAUGAAAGUUGAAAAUAUGUAAUUUAUAGACGUCUACGUUUGGGCCAAAUCAAAGCUGGCCCAGACCAGACAAAAUCUGAACCAAACCUAUGAGUGGUCCAGAGUGGACCAACAAGCAACAUCUGUGGAUAUGGAAAUCGAGGCCGGUCCAGAUGGCACCAAAAAAGACAUUGGACAAGACCAAAAAAGACAUCCAGAAGGCAUCAGUGUCGGUCAGUGCUUACUGAGCUGCAGAUAUAAAGGACAAAUUCUGCAUCAUAGGAUUCAUCAACAGCAGGCUUCCCAAUGAUUUCAUUAAAGCUGAGAUCUGCAAAAGGAAGAUGAUAAAACGCACAAUGAACUCAGAAGACACCCGCAGUGCAAGCACCAGUCCAAGCCCCAGUGGAGCAAGCACACAGUGGGUCAAGUCCCAAUGGAGAGACAGAAGGAGAGUCCAUCCCAGUGUGAAUGAUCAGGCAAAGGAGGUCUACGCCAAAAUUAUUUCUUGCCUACGAGAACCAGCACCCACAGAGUCUGAUCCAUCUGCAGUUUUUGGGCUGCUACAAAGGGGAUGCUACCAAGACUAAGAUAGAUGGCCAAAAGUGGACAUCUAGGAAUUGCUGCUAAAGAAUCUUUUUCAAGAUUUAAGUAGUGUGAGAAUUGAGAGAGCAGGAUACUGAAAUGUUGAAUGAUAUAUUUAUUGAUGUUUAUGUAUUAUUUGUGCAUACAUUAAUUAUUAAAUCAAUUAACCUACA